CAAGAAGUGGCUUCCAGUGAUUCAUCAGUGGUUGUAACCACACCUAGUGGUCAAUAUUAUCAGUACUGGUUAUCUAAACUGAUACCGGACACCGAUUACAAAAUACAAGCAAGGGCGUCACAGUUGUAUGGCAGCAUGGAUAUAUCGGAUACUCGGUAUUCUUCGUGGCAGAAUUUUAAAACAGCUUCUCUCUCAAUAUUUGGUCGAGUAGACCUUGU